AGAGGGGGGUUGAAGUGGAAAAGAGGACACUGUGAUAUUAAAGCAGAUAUUUUGAUUGACAGAAAUAAGGAAACCAAAUAGAGAGAAUAUGAGUGAGAAACUGAGAAGCUAGUAGAGUCACUGCAAGUCAAUUUCAGAGAGAAAGUGAAGAAGCGAGAUAGAGAAAGAGUACAUAAGAAGUCCAUUCAUCUAAUGUGGAUGAGAAUCUUAUAUGAUAUUUGAAUCGGUUCUCAUCGAAGGCAGAGUAGGACUAAUAGGUGUAGUAUGUUAUGGUUAUGGAGGGUGCUCCGAUUGUGGCCAAAGCUAUUAAGAUUCUGAUGGUUUCCAUGGGAAGAGUAAGGCCUGAUUUUCUCUGUCAUAUCCGGCUGAACUGAGAUUUACUUAUUUUUGUAGACAACUUCCAUUAAGCUAUGUUAGUGGUCUCAUUCUGUUUUGUACCUUGUGCCAAUUUCUUUGGAUGGUUCUCAAGUGAUGUACAUACUACUGUAGUUUUCGGGAUCAGAUAUUGGCUUCGUCCCAUCUUAAGAACUUUGUUGCAUGGUAACCUCCAGGAAUUCGGAGAUAGAAUUGGGAAAAUUAUGUCCCCAAACAGUUCCUUGGGGGAAAAGUAUCUCUGAUAUGGAUUGUGAGGGCAAAUUUCUAGAGGACGGAAGGAGUGCUGAGAGAGCCCAAGUGUUCGAUAAAUUAAGAACUAACAACAAUGCAUCACAGUCUCCAUGAUUUGCAAGGAAUCCAAUAAAGUGGGGGAAUGUGCUAUUUGCUUUACUUUCAGGGACAGAGUCCCUGUCUCAUACCGGACAAGGACGGCUUGCAGGGGAACUGAGUAUGGAACAUCAGAUGAAGUUGGAAGAAGCCUAACAUCACCUGCCCUGAAGUCCUCAGUUGAAGCUCUCUUGCCUGAGGAUACCUGAAGUGAAAGCUCUACAGAAAUUUAUCACUAAACACUGAGAUGUAGCAGAGAACCUACAAAGGAUAGAUAGCCUCAAUCUUUAAGGCUCAAUGAGAAUCACCACAAAGACAUUUUAUUCUUCCUGAAGAUGCCUUCUAUGAUAACUUUGCAUGGAGAAGCUGGGCUAUUCUGAGAUGUCGGUUGCCUGAACAAUUCUUAGGCCUCAGAAGGAUGGCUAGACAACAUCUUUAUAAUAAAGAGUUGAGUCAUGCAAAUGACCUACUAUAGGAAUCUCUUCAGGUAAUAACUACUAGUAGGAAAUACCUGAAAGAAGACUCUUCAGACUAAUAUCUCAUCACCAUAUAUUAUCCUAAAGCAUAUUCUGAAGAUGAUAUCUACAGUGAUGAGUUGGAGUCAUAGAUGGUGCCACUUCUUCAACCAGCUAUAUCACCAAAACAAUCUUCAUUAUACAUGAUGAUGCCUCUUUCCUGUGUAGCAGCAGACACCACCUUCAGAUAAGAAAUGCUUAAGUGAGAAAUGCUCAUUUUGGGAUAUCAUCGGUGAAACUAUAAUUUGGGCAUGGUGCCUGUUUCCCUUGCUGCCACUUGACUCAAUCCCAGAAGCUUAAUAGAUGAAAUAGUAAUGUACAAGGAGCUCAAAAUGGUGGAAGUAAUUAGUGCUUCUAUAAAUAUAGAUUAAUGAUUUAAAAUAUGAUAUAUUAAAAAGAAAAUGCAUGACUAAAAAAACCUGAAUGCAUACUUAUAUGAUUAAUACAUAAAUCAUGUACCUUCUCUUUGGAAAAUUAUCCCCAUGGUUUCUCUCUGUUAAGGGAAGGUAUAUAUGCUUUUAAGCAAAAAAAUAUACACGACAUACACAUACUGUCUGGUGGGGGACAUCUAGUAGUAAGGGCAUAUUGUUAUGCAAAUUUCUACUUUUGUUUGAGUCUUUUUAUGAGGUUUUGCUAUUUCAGUAUUCAUAUUCAUACCUAUGUCAUUUGUUGAGUGACUAUAUGACUGUUUUUAGAUGAAAUAGAAUGAAAUAUUUUAAACAUUGCUAUACAUUGGCAGUUAUAUAGGUACCAAUUCUCUGUGCAAUACACUUCCAUACAUAACAUUUCUGCAUUUGUCUCCUCUAUCAGAGUAAAUUUACCUAGAACUUAAAUUAUUGAAAUUAAGUAUAUUAAUGCUUCAAGUUUUAAAAUUAUCAUUUCUUUCACAAUGUACUUGAAGAGAUUUCCCCUUAGAGCCAAUGAGUUAUAUUGCCAAAUUCUUCAAAAUACCAUUAUGGUGGAUUUUACGAGUGAUUCAGGUCCUUUCCAGUGUGUUAGCCGGAAUUGUUGUUAUGAAUUGUAUUUAUUUUAUUUUUGAGUUUGAUCAUUUUCAUGUUUAUAAGCCAUCUGUAUUAUUUUAAUUUCUUAUUUAUGUAAAAGCCUGGGAGUAUGGUGAAGAUUUAGUCUAAAGUUCUUUUACUGUUGACAAAAGAUAAGAUUUUGGAUUGUCAAACAUUACAUGUUUGUCACACUUUUAAACUUUGUUUUGUUAUCAGAAUGUAUAUUACUGUUACAUGUCUAAGUAUAACCAUGUUUGUUUUUAUGACUUCUAAGUUUCAUGUCAUUUUUUUUUGAAAAAAAUAUACUGAGCCCAUAAAUCCUUUCACCUAUGUUAAUCGUAAUUAUUUUGUGUUUUUUAAAGUGAAAUUCUUGCAUCAUGAAAAGAAUUUUAUUUUGAAAUCUUAGAAUUGCCAAGUUAUUUGCCAUUAUUUAUAAUUAUUUGCUAGUAAUUGCCCAUUUAUCUGUAAUGCCAUCAUGCAUAUGUGCUGUAUUCUCAUCCAUGGAUGGCUCCAUUUUUGUUGUGUGGAUAUGUGUGUCUCUUCUGCCUUAUGUCUCAUGUGUCUUCUUGUUGGAAGAAAUUACAGUUUAGACUGUAAUUUCAUCAACCUUAAUAAAUCAAUCUGGGAAAAACUUGUUUUAAAUGAUAUUGUCUUUGUAAAUCAAGCCAAAGUAUGUCUCUUUUAUUAAAUAUUCAAUUAUUAUUGAUAUUUUCACUAUAACCUUGGUCUUCUCUCUCUUUUUUGCUUCUUUUUUAUUUCUGCAUUUGACGGGAUUAUUUUUUUUUUUUAGAUUUUGUUUUGGGAUAUGGGUUAAGUGGCUAUCUUAUUUCUUUUCAUUGAUUAUGGAAUGUACAAUUUUAUAAAUACUGAUUUUUCUCCUCAUCCAAUUGAUAAUGUCUUUGGUUAUAUUGAUAAAAAUCCAAAAACUGGUCUUCUCAGCACACAUUAGCUAUUGUGGAAGCAUUAUUCAUCCUUGAUUUAAGUGGCAUUCACCAAAAAUGCUUUGUGAGUAUGAGUAGCACAUCGCUACUUGUCUGUUUCCAAAAAGACCACCUUAAAGAGCGAUGAUCAAGCAAAGUUGAAUUAACUAUACUUAA
rnacentral:sRNA from 1 species